AGACGUCUAUGAGGAAAUGACUCUACUUCUCUGUAGUGACCAGCAGGGGGCGACUCCUCUGCUCCCAUAGACGUCUAUGAGGAAAGAGGACGGCGCUGAACGGAUUCCCAUAAUCAGUCUGUUGUCUCAGUGUUGUUAGUUUAGGUUCAGGAGAGGAUGCUGUUCUGGGUGUGAUUACGUUGUUGCUCACCGUGUUUGUUUCAGUGUUGUUACUCGAGCUCAAAGUGAGCGUAUUAUUCUACAUCUAUUCUGCCUCCUGUAUUUAUUUAUUUAUUUUGUGUUAUUCUAUUUUCUGUAUGUAUUCUGUGUCUUAUACAUUGCUGCUGAAUAUUAUAUAAGUCUUUUAUAUCAGGAUAACAAUCAUUGGAUACUAAUCAAAACAUAAAUAACUUCUCUCCUUGUUCCUUUUUUUCUCUCUUUGUCUUUGGGGAACAAACUUGGCAGUAAACCAGAACUCCUCCCCCCUCCUCCCCCCGGCCCCUCCUCCCUCCCCCCCCCUCCCCUCUUUCUCUUUUCUACUGCUCAUUCAGGUCUCAUUAGGUGAUCUUCGUCCCUUCUCGUCCCCACUUCGUCCCCCACGUUCAUUCAUUCAUUCUCUGCUCAUCAUGUCCAGCUGGAGCCUCCUGUGUGUGUGUCUGUGUGCAGCUUCACUCCUGCUGCCUGCUGAACUUAUUAUUUGUUUCACGUCCCAGUGGAGCAGCGUGACCCUGAGACGCCAUCGUGACGUUCAUGACUUGUGUUUUCAGUGGUCCGGGCUCAGUACUACGAGCCCACCGUGCCUCCCGACUACGGCGACUACGGCGACUACAACGUCACCUUCGACUACAGCUUCUACAGUAACGCCAGCAGCGAGGACUUGGAUCAGUUUAGCAAGCCUAUUCAAAGACGAAGAGGAGGACACAGAGGGGCAGGCGAAAGGACCGUGACUGUUACCAUGACAACCACCCAAGAAACCACGGAGCGGGGCGGAGUCAAUGUUCUAAACGCUGCAUCACUUCCGGUUCCUCUGGAAAUCAGGAUGCUUCUCUGGACUCUGGUUACCCUGAUCAGCCUUCAACACACACUAUGAGAAGGACACGCACACAGCUGACGUCUGAUCAGUUCUAACCUGCACAAACCAGAGCGGGUCGCCUGAGGUGGGAGGGGUCUCGGCCUCUGACCUCUGACCUCCGGGGAGAGGAACACCGUGUCCCCCGGCGUGGCUUUACAGGCUCAGCCAAUCACAGAGCAACACUCCAACCACAACAUCACAUGGACUCGUCUGUCUUCAUCUUAUCUUCACAUCUUCAACGUGGGAGAAAGACUUUGCAAUUUGAUAUGUAUGUGUACAAGUACAUGUGUAUAAGUACAUGUGUAUAAGUACAUGUGGAACCUUCUUAAUGACUUAACGAUGGAAAGAGAGCAAACCGAAAUCAGACCAAUGAAUCGUCAUCAUCAAAUACAUUUAGAGCUAAAGCAUAUUUAAGAUACAUUUUAAUUUUCCAGGGUUUGGAAAAAAGUAAAGGAUUGAUGGACUUUGUUCCUUCUGAAGGUCACGUAUGUUUGAAUCUUUCACUGUUAACGUAGUUUGCACUGUUCGCCUCCCUGGACGUGAUCCUUGAAUCAGCUGGAAAAACGUCCCCACAAAGCUGAGAACAGGUUGUAUAGAAACAUGCAAACACAUUUAAUGUUUGUGUGCACAUGCAUGCAUUUGUAUGUGUGUAUAUAUAUUAUAUAUCUAUUAUAUACUUGUUUCAUAGUGAAUAGAUUGUAUCUCUGCUUCUAUGUUGUUGAUUGAUGGACUAUAAAACAAACAAGUCAACAAACACACACAACGGCUUCAUGAGCAGCUCUGAGAAAUGAUUUUACCAAUAAAACAGUUUCAUUUAAGCCGUCUUUGUUUAGACAUUAAGCAUCUUCCAGAAUGUAAAAGGUCAUUUUUGUACAGUUGUUGGUUUUUUGCAAUAAAAUGUCUCGUUACACACAAA